rnacentral:rRNA from 1 species
GGUGCUUAACAUCCACCUAGAGGAGCCUGUUCUAGAACCGAUAACCCCCGUUCAACCUCACCCUCCCUUGCUUUUCCCGCCUAUAUACCACCGUCGUCAGCUUACCCUGUGAAGGCCUAAUAGUAAGYAGAAUUGGCAUAGCCCAAAACGUCAGGUCGAGGUGUAGUGCAUGAGAGGGGAAGAAAUGGGCUACAUUYSCUAGUAGUAGCGAAUACGAAUGUUGCAUUGAAAUAUGCGACUGAAGGAGGAUUUAGCAGKAAGCAGAAAGCAGAGCGUCCCGCUGAAACUGGCCCUAAAGCGCG